rnacentral:rRNA from 1 species
ACCUUAAAGCUAGCCUAACCAGUCGUAUAAACAUAACCUUAUCAAUUAUACCUACACUACUAUUAUUAAAUUAAAACAUUUUAUACCUUUUAGUAUGGGUGACAGAACAAUAAAUAUUAGCGCAAUAGACUAUGUACCGCAAGGGAAAGCUGAAAAAGAAAUGAAAUAAAUAUUAAAGUAACAAAAAGCAGAGACUCAACCUCGUACCUUUUGCAUCAUGAUUUAGCUAGAUCAACUAGGCAAAGAGAUCUUGAGUCUAUCUUCCCGAAACUAAACGAGCUACUCCGAAGCAGCACAUUAGAGCCAACCCGUCUCUGUGGCAAAAGAGUGGGAGGACUUCCGAGUAGCGGUGACAAACCUAUCGAGUUUAGUGAUAGCUGGUUACCCAAGAAAAGAACUUAAAUUCUGCAUUAAUUUUUUAUCACCAACUAAGAACAUCUUCUUAAGGUUAAAAAUAAGAAUUAAUAGUUAUUUAGAAGGGGUACAGCCCUUCUAAAUUAAGAUACAACUUUUAAAGGUGGGUAAUGAUCACAUUUUAUUAAAGGUUUUUCCCCCAGUAGGCCUAAGAGCAGCCAUCUGUAAAGUAAGCGUCACAGCUCCAGCUUUAUUUUAACCUAUAAUUUAGAUAUUAUCUCACAACCCCCUUACCUGUAUUGGGUUAUUUUAUAUAUUUUUAUAAAAGAACUUAUGCUAAAAUGAGUAAUAAGAGGCCAAACCUCUCCUAACACAAGUGUACAUCAGAAAGAAUUAAAUCACUGAUAAUUAAACGAACCCAGACUGAGGGCAUAAUACUAAUUUAUCAUUAACUAGAAAACCUUAUUUAACUAUUCGUUAACCCUACACAGGAGUGUCCCCAGGAAAGAUUAAAAGGAAAUAAAGGAACUCGGCAAACAUAAACUCCGCCUGUUUACCAAAAACAUCGCCUCUUGCUUAACCACUAUAAGAGGUCCCGCCUGCCCUGUGACAAUGUUUAACGGCCGCGGUAUUUUGACCGUGCGAAGGUAGCGUAAUCACUUGUCUUUUAAAUGGAGACCUGUAUGAAAGGCAUCACGAGAGUUUAACUGUCUCUAUUUCCUAAUCAAUGAAAUUGAUCUUCUCGUGCAGAAGCGAGAAUAUAACCAUUAGACGAGAAGACCCUAUGGAGCUUCAAACACUUAAAUUAAUUAUGUAAAAUUAUAAUCCCACGGGAAUAAAUCAUUUAUACAAUACUCCUAAUUUAACUGUUUUUGGUUGGGGUGACCAAGGGGGAAAACAAAUCCCCCUUAUCGACUGAGUACUCAGUACUUAAAAAUUAGAACGACAGUUCUAAUUAAUAAAACAUUUAACGAAAAAUGACCCAGAAUUUUUUCUGAUCAAUGAACCAAGUUACCCUAGGGAUAACAGCGCAAUCCUUUCCCAGAGUCCCUAUCGCCGAAAGGGUUUACGACCUCGAUGUUGGAUCAGGACAUCCUAAUGGUGCAACCGCUAUUAAGGGUUCGUUUGUUCAACGAUUAAUAGUCCUACGUGAUCUGAGUUCAGACCGGAGAAAUCCAGGUCAGUUUCUAUCUAUGAACUUAUUUUUCCUAGUACGAAAGGACCGGAAAAAUGGAGCCAAUACCCUGCGGCACGCUCCUUUUUCACCUGCUGAAAUAAACUAAAUUAGGUAAGAAAAAAUUACCUAAAACCCGAGAUAAGGGUU